GAUGAAGAACGUAGCGAAAUGCGAUAAGUAAUGUGAAUUGCAGAAUUCAGUGAAUCAUCGAAUCUUUGAACGCACAUUGCGCCCGCUAGUAUUCUGGCGGGCAUGCCUGUCCGAGCGUCAUUUCAACCCUCAAGCCCCCGGGCUUGGUGUUGGGGAUCGGCGAGCCUCCGCGCCCGCCGUCCCCUAAAUCUAGUGGCGGUCUCGCUGUAGCUUCCUCUGCGUAGUAGCACACCUCGCACUGGGAAACAGCGCGGCCACGCCGUUAAACCCCCAACUUCUGAACGUUUGACCUCGGAUCAGGUAGGAAUACCCGCUGAACUUAAGCAUACAAUAAGCGGAGGA
rnacentral:misc_RNA from 1 species